AGAAUCAACGCUGGCGGCGUGCCUAACACAUGCAAGUCGAACGAGAAAGUGGAGCAAUCCAUGAGUAAAGUGGCGCACGGGUGAGUAACACGUGACUAACCUACCCUUGAGUGGGGGAUAACCUAGAGAAAUCUGGGCUAAUACCGCAUAAUACCUUCGGGUCAAAGGAGCAAUUCGCUUAAGGAGGGGGUCGCGGCCGAUUAGUUAGUUGGCGGGGUAAUGGCCCACCAAGACUGUGAUCGGUAUCCGGCCUGAGAGGGCGCACGGACACACUGGAACUGAAACACGGUCCAGACUCCUACGGGAGGCAGCAGUGGGGAAUUUUGCGCAAUGGGGGAAACCCUGACGCAGCAACGCCGCGUGGAGGAUGAAGCCCCUUGGGGCGUAAACUCCUUUCGAUCGGGAAGAUAAUGACGGUACCGAGAGAAGAGCCCCGGCUAACUUCGUGCCAGCAGCCGC
rnacentral:rRNA from 1 species